UCCCUCGAGCCGGAUUUGAACCAGCGACCUAAGGAUCACCGUUGAAACAUCUACAGUCCUCCACUCUGCCAACUGAGCUAUCGAGGG
rnacentral:tRNA from 1 species